CCGGGCAUGAUUUGUUUUGUUUUAAUUCUUUUUAAAACCAGGCACAGCUCUUAUCUGUGCGGAAACACUAAAUUCUUGGUAUCUUUUUGUUCCCCUGCAGAUGAUUUGACAGCGAUGUUUACAGAACUCACGAUUUAGGGAAAAAAAACCAAAAACGAGAAGGGAGGAAAGAAUAGAAGCGAACUGAACUGAGCUGACCCAAGAGAGGCUCCUGCCACUCCACGAAGCAGCUGUUAAUGAUGCCUUUGAUAAGGUGCCAUGCUGAGGGGGCCCUUACAUGAUUUCUUCUCUGCAUCCAGACUGCCGAGGCUCUGAGCUGAUUGUGGGUGCCCUCGGGGGGGUGACGGUGCCGUGCUCUCAAACAGAGCCUCCACGAAGCACCUUGUGUCACAAACAAGGCUCAUUAGCAUAGCUCAGCAAUUAAAGCCCUGCUCAGUCUGCUGUCCUGAGAUAAAGAACUCCCAAUUUAUGGCCCGGUUGACUUUCUCUGGAGAUGAAUUGGCUGACAGCUUGGAGCGGUGAUGUUUUGUCUCCUGAGUACAGCUGUUCGCAAGGGUGAUCUUUCAGAAUGUGACUUUUCCACAGCCCAGCCAAGGGUAUUAGCACGAACUAAUUACAGGGAGAAGCCAGGGGCGAUGGUUUUCUAGGAGAGGGAACAUCACAGGUCCCAAACAGCUGGGUAGUGCCAGUGCUUUUCUCUCCUGGAAAACAGGGCCUUGCUGGAGGAGAGCUCCCCAUCUGGCAAGCUCUUCUAAUUCGUAUAAUAAAUGCAAAUGAUAUUUAUCUUAUUUAUUUUUUACUAGACUUUAAUGACAUUUAGAGAGGACUGGGCACAUGUGGCAGGACGCAGGGCUUCUCCUCGGAGUGGGCACGUGGUAAUAUUUGAUCAGCGAUACUGCGUUACAGGAGCUGUCUCCAGGUGUAUCCGUAUGGAGCAGAGACAUGGCCAGUGUGAACUCCAAGGAUCAGAACUGCCAUCUCUCUCUGCUGCUGUGUGGAAACAGACCUUGGAUUCUGUGAUUCCAGGACUGCUGCUUCCUGCUGCAGAGGAGGUAUUGCCUGGCAGGAGUGUUUCAGGAAUUAACAAAAAGCAAAAUUGAGACCAGCAGAGCAAGCAGUCUCGGCAAACUGUCGAAGGUACAUUUUUCUUCAUUAUUUUCUCACUGAACCAUGAUGAUAUCUGAUGGAGCAUUAUGGAUGGCGAGAAGGAAAGAAGUGUAAGCAAAGCUUUAAAACUAGCCACUGCUCUGGCUAAUGAGGCAAAAAGGAAAUUCUGGCUGUAGCAGCAGCUAAAUCCAACAAGAGAGAAUUGGACCUAAGCUGGAGUGAGGGAAUGGAGCUUGAAUAAAGACCCUUACCGGAUCAAACAAAA
rnacentral:lncRNA from 13 species